CAAACACUUUUUCUUCUUUACUUCAUCUGCGUACAUUUUACCUUUCACCAUCUUCUCACUAUUUUAUAAUUAAUCUUUAAUCAACAACAAAUCUUCCUAGUGAUUUCCGCUGCCAAUUCUUCGACAGCCUUGAAAGAAACAUCCGCCAUGGUUAUCCUUCUCGAGAUUUAUAUCGGAAUUGUUUGUUGCUGAAACUUUAGUCAAUUUGUUGAUUGAUAUUAACUUGUGUUCUCAAAGGAGUUUAACGGCAGAUAUUAUAGUGGAUCAAGCUUUGGAAUUUCCGAUUGAUAACAUGCAUCUGCAAAUGAAGUUCCUGAUUUUCGGUCAGGACAUAACAAAAGGGGAGAGGUUUAAGUACGGAUCAUCCGACAGAGAUUCCAUCAUGUUCACAAUGGUUUGAGUUUUGAAAGACAUUUUGAAUCGAUGGUUGGUAGGCUUGAAUUGACCAGUGGCAAAACUCAAGCUAUUCUCCAUAGAUCUCCAUUGUCCUUAAAUGAUCAUGUUUUGAAAAUGAUUCAGCAAUCUUUUAUCACGGCGUGAACUUUGAUACCCUGAAAAGAGAUAAAUAUAGAUAGGUCUUCCAUGAAUGAAGAACCCUCACUUGAACUUUCCAAAAAUUCUUGUACUGCGUAACAUCUCGGAGGAAAGCGUAUGAUGGAGCCAUGGCGAGCGGAGCCAAAAAUCAGAAGUCCGGGUUUCUUUAAAAAACGCGUGGAUCCUCACUAAAACGGGUCGGGUAAUGUUAGAAUUAAGAUUUCUGACGAUUUUACCCUUCUCAAUUUUGAGAAUCGCUCUCCUCUAUGUAUAAUUCAGUGGCAAUUUCAGUAAUUAGAAAGAGGAUUUCAGUCAUUUUUAAAAACGUACUCCUCUUUUAAUUAUAAGAAGAUAUGAGAUAAAUUUCUUUUAUUUUCUUGAGAAUUUUUUGGA